CCUACGGGUAGCAGCAGUGAGGAAUAUUGGUCAAUGGACGAGAGUCUGAACCAGCCAAGUAGCGUGAAGGAUGACUGCCCUAUGGGUUGUAAACUUCUUUUAUAUGGGAAUAAAAUGUUCCACGUGUGGGAUUUUGUAUGUACCAUAUGAAUAAGGAUCGGCUAACUCCGUGCCAGCAGCCGCGGUAAUACGGAGGAUCCGAGCGUUAUCCGGAUUUAUUGGGUUUAAAGGGAGCGUAGGUGGAUUGUUAAGUCAGUUGUGAAAGUUUGCGGCUCAACCGUAAAAUUGCAGUUGAAACUGGCAGUCUUGAGUACAGUAGAGGUGGGCGGAAUGCGUGGUGUAGCGGUGAAAUGCUUAGAUAUCACGAAGAACUCCGAUUGCGAAGGCAGUUCACUGGACUGCAACUGACACUGAGGCUCGAAAGUGUGGGUAUCAAACAGGAUUAGAUACCCUAGUAGUC
rnacentral:rRNA from 1 species